UAUUACAAUAACGUUACAACUCCUAAUUUAAUUGUACAAUGCAUGCAAUUAUUUUAAAACUUUUCAUUUGUAAUCCAUAAUGUAAUGUAAUGUAAUGUAAUUGAAACAUUUGUUUUAAUAUCAUAAUUAUUUUAUAAAAUGUAUUACUCCUAACAAUCAGUGAAAUGAAUGUGAAACGCAUGUUAUUGUGUUUUAGGUCCACUUAUCAGUGAAAGAUAUUUUUUGAUGUUCCACAUGACUCACAGCUUCUGCUGUAAUGUAUAAAGUUCUUAAUUUACAAGUUGUUGUGUGUUUAUCACAUCAAUUAAUAAUUUAUGGUGUGUUUGAUUUCAUUACUAGGACAAUGCAGGACAAAGGCUGUCAAAUAACUGUGGAGUGUUUGUCUUGAUGGCAAGUACGUACUGUAAAUGAGGAACAUCGAGGUGUAAUCAAUUGCUGUUACCCAUUUAACUUUUUUUGGUGUGUCUUUGCAUAUUAUAGUAUGCACUGUAUGUUAUUCUGGGACAGAAGUUUGACUUCACUGAACUAAACAUGAAGAACAUAGGAAAAUGGUGGUGUGCCAUCUUGCUUGAAAAUUAAACAUGGGAGAAAGAGAAAAUGAGCUGUUGUACCUGAAGAAGAAGAAGAAGAAUGCUCUGCACUCCCUGAAACCUACGGGAAGAAAAAAACUGAACUCGCAUAUGAAACAGACCAAACCCCAGUUGUGCCCUCUAUUUUUAGCAAGGAUGAGCUGUUAAAAGAUGAUGACCCUCCAUCAUGCUUUAUCUUCAAGGUAGUUGAAUGUUAUAUAAUGUGCUUUUUAAAAAAAUUUAAUGGCCUGUGCUAACUUUUCAGUUAUCAGGAGCGUUGCUGAAGAACAUACUUCUUGAAGUUGCUGCCUACACGACCCUGUCAUUGGCUUGCUCAAGGUUCAGGGACAUAGUGAUGACAAGUUCAAGAAUCAGGCACACUUCUUAUGGCUAGAAAGUAAAUAUUGACAUUAAAAAAUAAAAUGCAUAACAAGAACAUCAUUGAUAAUGUUAUGUGAUUUUUUUUCACCUCAGGUGUUACAUGCUGGAAAAAAGACAUCUCACUACAAACAGCUCUUCUGGAAGAUGUACUCAAUCUCCACUUGUUUGGAGUUUGAGUACAAAUGCUGCACACCUGGUACUUUUUGUGUAAAUUGGUGAUGAAUAAACUAGUUGUUAGUCUAAAGGAAAACUAAAAAUCAAAUUUACUUAUGUCAUCCCUUGGAGUUUAAAAGUUUUGGACACCAUUCAAUUGACCAACAGAGCUGAGAAAUUAUUCCUAAUGUUUGUAAAUGUUCACUGUCAACCAUAAACCCUAGUUGUUAUUUUGCUUCUUGUGUAUCCACCAGGUUAUGCUGGGAAGGGAAAGCGAGGUGAGCUCCAGGGCAUUUAUUCAAAAACCUUCCACCCUGGAUUUUGCAGAUUUGACUCCAUGCAGAUCAGUUCUAAUGAGCUGAUAUAGUUUCCUUACAAAGACUAAAAAUAAUAAAAUAAAAUAAACACUUUUGCAAUCAAUUCUGAGUGACUUGUACAUGAUUUUAUUCAUUGAAAAAAUAAUUUAAAUGUAAUAUAUGUGUAACAUGUUCAGAAGAACAUUAGUCUGUUAUUUAAAAAAAUAAUGCAGUAAAGAUGGAUGGUAACUUUAUUUUACAUUAGCCACAUGU